rnacentral:rRNA from 1 species
AUGCCUAAUACAUGCAAGUCGAACGCUGAAGCACUCUGCUUGCAGAGUGCGGAUGAGUGGCGAACGGGUGAGUAACACGUGGGAAAUCUGCCUAGGAGUGGGGGAUAACAUUCGGAAACGGAUGCUAAUACCGCAUAUCUUUUUGAACCGCAUGGUUCUUAAACGAAAGACGGCUUCGGCUGUCGCUCUUAGAUGAUCCCGCGGCGUAUUAGUUAGUUGGUGGGGUAAAGGCCUACCAAGACCAUGAUACGUAGCCGACCUGAGAGGGUGAUCGGCCACACUGGGACUGAGACACGGCCCAGACUCCUACGGGAGGCAGCAGUAGGGAAUCUUCCACAAUGGGUGAAAACCUGAUGGAGCAAUGCCGCGUGAAUGAAGAAGGUCUUCGGAUCGUAAAGUUCUGUUAUUAGAGAAGAACAAGUCAAGGAGUAACUGUCUUGACUUUGACGGUACCUAACCAGAAAGUCACGGCUAACUACGUGCCAGCAGCCGCGGUAAUACGUAGGUGACAAGCGUUGUCCGGAAUUAUUGGGCGUAAAGGGAGCGCAGGCGGUUGGAAUAGUCUGAUGUGAAAGCCCACGGCUUAACCGUGGAAGGUCAUUGGAAACUGUCCAACUUGAAUACAGAAGAGGUAAGUGGAAUUCCAAGUGUAGCGGUGAAAUGCGUAGAUAUUUGGAGGAACACCAGUGGCGAAGGCGACUUACUGGUCUGUAAUUGACGCUGAGGCUCGAAAGCGUGGGUAGCAAACAGGAUUAGAUACCCUGGUAGUCCACGCCGUAAACGAUGAGUGCUAAGUGUUAGGGGGUUUCCGCCCCUUAGUGCUGGAGUUAACGC